rnacentral:rRNA from 1 species
UACGAAGGGGGGCUAGCGUUGCUCGGAAUCACUGGGCGUAAAGCGCACGUAGGCGGCUUCUUAAGUCAGGGGUGAAAUCCUGGAGCUCAACUCCAGAACUGCCUUUGAUACUGAGAAGCUUGAGUCCGGGAGAGGUGAGUGGAACUGCGAGUGUAGAGGUGAAAUUCGUAGAUAUUCGCAAGAACACCAGUGGCGAAGGCGGCUCACUGGCCCGGUACUGACGCUGAGGUGCGAAAGCGUGGGGAGCGAACAGG